rfam:Gossypium raimondii Chr11_contig_46, whole genome shotgun sequence.
AAUAAGAUAAUGAUAAAUCAGAUUUUUUUUCCUGAUUUUGAGCUUUUUCCUUCUUACAAAAUUUAAAUCAAACUAAAAAUACUAAAAAUUAAAAGAAAAAAUCUAAUUUAUCAUUCUCCUAUU